rnacentral:lncRNA from 1 species
CCCAAAAUCCAAAUCAAUUCCCAAACUCCCAACCCAGCCCGCCGGCCCUAAGUUCCUAACCUCUCGGCUCUCACUCCAGAGCCGUCGCCCCUCGCUCCUCGCCAGCCCGGCCGCCCCGCCCCUCGCCCACACCAGAGUCCAGCCCCGCCGUCGCCGCAACUCCCACCGAAACCCUCGCCCGUGUCCCCAGUCAGCAAUCGCCUCGCCGUUCGCCGCCGCCGCCCGUGUCCCCAGUCAGCAAUCGCCGCCGCCGCAGCCGCAGCCGUGCAGGUGCAGCCCCGCCGUCGCCGCAACUCCCACCGCAACCCUCGCUUCUUCUUCUUCUUUUUUUUUUUUAAAACAGUUUUCGAAUUUAUUUAGUGGGGAUUAAUGGAUCUGUGUGAUUAAUUAUUGCUUUUGAAUCUCUAUUUCUGCUCUCCAAUUCUCGCAGCUUAAUUUCAAUUCAUUU